rnacentral:rRNA from 1 species
GAUGAACGCUGGCGGCGUGCCUAAUACAUGCAAGUCGAGCGAACAGACGAGGAGCUUGCUCCUCUGACGUUAGCGGCGGACGGGUGAGUAACACGUGGAUAACCCACCUAUAAGACUGGGAUAACUUCGGGAAACCGGAGCUAAUACCGGAUAAUAUAUUGAACCGCAUGGUUCAAUAGUGAAAGACGGUUUUGCUGUCACUUAUAGAUGGAUCCGCGCCGCAUUAGCUAGUUGGUAAGGUAACGGCUUACCAAGGCAACGAUGCGUAGCCGACCUGAGAGGGUGAUCGGCCACACUGGAACUGAGACACGGUCCAGACUCCUACGGGAGGCAGCAGUAGGGAAUCUUCCGCAAUGGGCGAAAGCUUGACGGAGCAACGCCGCGUGAGUGAUGAAGGUCUUCGGAUCGUAAAACUCUGUUAUUAGGGAAGAACAAAUGUGUAAGUAACUAUGCACGUCUUGACGGUACCUAAUCAGAAAGCCACGGCUAACUACGUG